UACGUAGGGCGCAAGCGUUGUCCGGAAUUAUUGGGCGUAAAGAGCUCGUAGGCGGCUUGUCACGUCGGAUGUGAAAGCCCGAGGCUUAACCUCGGGUCUGCAUUCGAUACGGGCUAGCUAGAGUGUGGUAGGGGGAGAUCGGAAUUCCUGGUGUAGCGGUGAAAUGCGCAGAUAUCAGGAGGAACACCGGUGGCGAAGGCGGAUCUCUGGAACGCAACUGACGCUGAGACGCGAAAGCGUGGGGAGCAAACAGG
rnacentral:rRNA from 1 species